rnacentral:lncRNA from 1 species
ACAAGUUCAAGGCCAUAGCAGAAGCGUUCAUGCAUGGCAUGUCAGAUUCCAGCAAGUCUGCCAAUUCUGCU